rnacentral:rRNA from 1 species
UACGUAGGGUGCGAGCGUUGUCCGGAAUUAUUGGGCGUAAAGGGCUCGUAGGCGGUCUGUCACGUCGGGAGUGAAAACUCAGGGCUUAACCCUGAGCCUGCUUCCGAUACGGGCAGACUAGAGGUAUGCAGGGGAGAACGGAAUUCCUGGUGUAGCGGUGAAAUGCGCAGAUAUCAGGAGGAACACCGAUGGCGAAGGCAGGUCUCUGGGCAUUAACUGACGCUGAGGAGCGAAAGCAUGGGGAGCGAACAGG